GAUGAACGCUGGCGGCGUGCCUAAUACAUGCAAGUCGAGCGAACAGACGAGGAGCUUGCUCCUCUGACGUUAGCGGCGGACGGGUGAGUAACACGUGGAUACCCUACCUAUCAGACUGGGAUAACUUCGGGAAACCGGAGCUAAUACCGGAUAAUAUAUUGAACCGCAUGGUUCAAUAGUGAAAGUCGGUUUUGCUGUCACUUAUAGAUGGAUCCGCGCCGCAUUAGCUAGUUGUUAAGGUAACGGCUUACCAAGGCAACGAUGCGUAGCCGACCUGAGAGGGUGAUCGGCCACACGGGAACUGAGACACGGUCCAGACUCCUACGGGAGGCAGCAGUAGGGAAUCUUCCGCAAAGGGCGAAAGCUUGACGGAGCAACGCCGCGUGAGUGAUGAAGGUCUUCGGAUCGUAAAACUCUGUUAUUAGGGAAGAACAAAUGUGUAAGUAACUAUGCACGUCUUGACGGUACCUAAUCAGAAAGCCACGGCUAACUACGUG
rnacentral:rRNA from 1 species